AGAUGUAAGGGUGGUUGGGUCAUGACAUCUGUCACCCCAUUGAUCACCAGGGUUGAUUCAGCUGAUCUGAUUGGCUAGUAGGGAGUUCCCUUCCUCCUUCAUCACUCCAUGUGUGACCCUCCCCAAGCUGCAUGCUCAGUGAAUGACCAUCUCAGAUUGAAGAGCUGUAGCGUUCUUCAGUCAAGGGUAUAUGAUACCUACUAGAACCUCCCAACAUUAAGUAUGAAAUUUAAAUUUCAUUUAAUGAUUACAAUAU
rnacentral:sRNA from 1 species